rnacentral:rRNA from 1 species
UACGAACUGUGCGAACGUUAUUCGGAAUCACUGGGCUUACAGGGUGCGUAGGCGGCUUGUUAAGUAGGGUGUGAAAGCCCCCGGCUCAACCGGGGGAAUUGCGCCCUAAACUGGCGAGCUGGAGUGAGAUAGGGGUGUGUGGAACUUCCGGUGGAGCGGUGAAAUGUGUUGAUAUCGGAAGGAACGCCGGUGGCGAAAGCGACACACUGGAUCUUGUCUGACGCUGAGGCACGAAAGCCAGGGGAGCAAACGGG